AUUGAACGCUGGCGGCAGGCCUAACACAUGCAAGUCGAGCGAGCGGCGGACGGGUGAGCAAUGUAUGGGGACUGCCCGAUAGAGGGGGAUAACUACUGGAAACGGUGGCUAAUACCGCAUACUAUAGGCUCACCCAUAUGGGAUUAGCUAGUAGGUGGGGAAAAGGCUCACCUAGGCGACGAUCUCUAGCUGGUCUGAGAGGAUGAGCGGCAACACGGGGACUGAGAAACGGCCCAGCCUCCUAGGGGGGCAGCAGUGGGAAAUAUUGCACAAUGGGGGAAAGCCUGAUGCAGCCAUGCGGCGUGUAUGAAGAAGGCCUUAGGGUGGUAAAGUACUUUCAGCGAGGAGGCGUUACCCGCAGAAGAAGCACCGGCUAACUCCGUGCCAGCAGCCGCGGUAAUAC
rnacentral:rRNA from 1 species